rnacentral:rRNA from 1 species
ACAAGCCUGAGAAACGGCUAGUAGGACUAAGGUCUGCAGCAGGCGCGAAACUUACACAAUGCUAGAUUUCAAAUUAGCGAUGUAGUGAAGAAAAAUAACGAUGUGCUUGUAUUUAAACAUACUUGCACAAUUGGAAUGAGACGACCUUAAAACAGUCAGUCGAGUAACAAAUGGAGGGCAAGUCUGGUGCCAGCAGCCGCGGUAAUUCCAGCUCCAUUAGCAUACAUUAAAGUUGUUGCGGUUAAAAAGCUCGUAGUUGAAUUUUGGACGGGCGCUUGGACGCGGCGGCCGUCAAGGCUGUUCGAAAGAUCAGCUGGUCGUCGUUUGUCUGCGGCGCUCGUUGUUUCGUCACUUAAUCGAGUGCGAAGCGGGCCGGUGUGAAAAUACAACUUCGGUUGUUCGCAACGGCAUGUUUACCUUGAGAAAAUUAGAGUGCUCAGAGCAGGCAGUUGGGAUGUAAAAGUCUCUUUAUGCUUGAAUAAUGUUGCAUGGAAUAAUAGAAUACGGCCUCGGUUCUAUUCUGUUGGUCUUAUAGAACAACAAACAAGUUGGCCUGGGGCGUCAACGGUUGUUGGUUGACGUGAUAGUCAAGUACCUGUUGUCUGGGAGUAAAAUCUCAGUACCUCUGCUUGUUUAUCAUCAAAGCGUCCUCCUCUCAGCCAGCCCCUCCAACUGAGGCAAUGGUUAAAAGAAAUAGUCGCGGCGGCAUCAGUACUGCAUCGUGAGAG